AUGAUGGAUAAAUUAGAAAUGAUGUUUUUUAAAAACCAUGUGGAUGUAAUAACAAUUACAUAUAAUGUGGUUGGGAGACAUUAUGCUUUAAUGAAUUUUAAGGAUCGAUAUAGUCCAAGAUGGUAAUCCGUUUGCCAGAGCAAAUGUUCUUGAAGAAACUAUAGGGAGAUACCAACAAACCCUAAGUAUUAAAAUAUUUGGAAUUAAGAGACGAAUUCUUAACAAUUAUACGUUUCU
rnacentral:lncRNA from 1 species